rnacentral:rRNA from 1 species
GAUGAACGCUAGCGGCAGGCCUAAUACAUGCAAGUCGAACGAUAUUAAGGGGCUUGCUCCUUAAGAAAGUGGCGCACGGGUGCGUAACGCGUAUGCAACCUACCUUAAUCAGGGGGAUAGCCCGAAGAAAUUCGGAUUAACACCGCAUAAAAACACAGGAUAGCAUUAUCCAAUGUUCAAAUAUUUAUAGGAUUAAGAUGGGCAUGCGUGUCAUUAGCUAGUUGGCGGGGUAACGGCCCACCAAGGCGACGAUGACUAGGGGAUCUGAGAGGAUGACCCCCCACACUGGUACUGAGACACGGACCAGACUCCUACGGGAGGCAGCAGUAAGGAAUAUUGGUCAAUGGAGGCAACUCCGAACCAGCCAUGCCGCGUGCAGGAAGACUGCCCUAUGGGUUGUAAACUGCUUUUAUCCGGGAAUAAACCUUUCUACGUGUAGGAAGCUGAAUGUACCGGAAGAAUAAGGAUCGGCUAACUCCGUGCCAGCCCGCCGCCGUAACAC